AUGCCCAUUUUUAACAUUCACCUGAAUAAAAACUUCAGUGCUGCUUUGUUCCCGUCAAAAGAAAAAGAACACUGCUCCUUCGCUUGCUUGCUCGAUGAACAGGAAGCGAAUAUGUCGGAACGGAAAGUUCUCAACAAAUACUACCCACCUGACUUCGACCCGUCAAAGAUCCCGAAACUCAAGCUACCCAAGGACCGGCAGUACGUGGUUCGAGUGAUGGCCCCCUUCAACAUGAGGUGUAAGACAUGUGGAGAAUACAUCUCUAAGGGGAAGAAGUUCAAUGCGCGCAAGGAAACCUUCCAGAACGAGGCCUACCUGGGCCUGCCUAUCUUCCGCUUCUAUAUCAAGUGCAGGCCCUGCUUGGCCGAGAUCACCUUCAAGACAGACCCUGAGAACAUGAACUACACCAUGGAGCAUGGAACCACACGCAACUUCCAAGCCGAGAAGCUCCUGGAGAAGGAAAAGCGUAUGCAGAAGGAGCGGAGGAUGAGGAGCUGAACAACCCCAUAAAGGUCCUAGAGAACCGCACGAAAGCCUCGAAGCUGGAGAUGGAGGUGCUGGAAAACCUGCAGGAGCUGAAGGACCUGAACCAGCGGCAGGCACAGCGGACGGCAGCAGGAGGAGGAAGAUGAGCAUGAGACUGAGGCCUUGUUGGAGGAGGCUCGCCACCGCCACACGCAGGCUUCUGGAGGAUUCCGACUCAGAAGAUGGAGCUCUGCCUUCCCGACCACGCUCAGCAGCAAAACCCAACCCCACAGCCAUCCUGGACGAGGCACCGAAGACCAAGAGGAAGCAGAGGCAGUGGACAGCAAGGCACAGCUGGCCGGAUUGGUGGUGCCAAAGAAGGUGAAGGCGGAAGCCAACGGGGGGCUCAGAGCAGCUCCAGAUGCCUGCCGUGGGUGCCCCCCGAGAGCAGGAAGACCUUGCACCCCAGACACCCGGGGCCUCCUCCCUGAGCCAGCUGGUGCAUAUGGGGACAGCGAGGACAGUGACAGCUGA